UGGCGGCAGGCCUAACACAUGCAAGUCGAGCGGUAACAUUUCUAGCUUGCUAGAAGAUGACGAGCGGCGGACGGGCGAGUAACGCGUAGAAAUCUACCUAGUAGUGGGGGAUAGCCCAGAGAAAUUUGGAUUAAUACCGCAUACGCCCUACGGGGGAAAGCGGGGGAUCUUCGGACCUCGUGCUAUUAGAUGAGUCUGCGUCGGAUUAGCUUGUUGGUGAGGUAAUGGCUCACCAAGGCGACGAUCCGUAGCUGGUCUGAGAGGAUGACCAGCCACACUGGAACUGAGACACGGUCCAGACUCCUACGGGAGGCAGCAGUGGGGAAUAUUGCACAAUGGGCGCAAGCCUGAUGCAGCCAUGCCGCGUGUGUGAAGAAGGCCUUAGGGUUGUAAAGCACUUUCAGCAGUGAGGAAAGGGGUGUCGUUAAUAGCGCCAUCCUGUGACGUUAACUGCAGAAGAAGGACCGGCUAACUCCGUG
rnacentral:rRNA from 1 species